ACAAAAGUUGGGUAGUGUGGCUUAUGAAACUACUAGUGAUCAGUUAGUGGCUUUAAUUUGCAUGGACAAGAAUUUGAGUUUUUUUUUUUUUGGGGGUGAUGCUCAAUAUUUUUGGACAAGAGAAAUCAGAGACCAGAUAUAUGAUGAGAAGCAAAAUCUGGUGACCAUCACCGUCGUGUGCUGUAGCCCCGAGAAAAUCCGCGACAAAUUAUGUUGCAAGGGUGGCAAAGUCAUUAAGAGUAUUGAGAUCGUGGAGCCACCAAAGCCCAAGCCACCGCCGGAGAAGCCUAAAGAGCCCGAAAAGCCCAAGCCACCGCUCGAUGAGCCGGAUGACACCACACAGUCAGAGAGACCCACAGUUAGAGUAGUUGAAAAGUCGAAGACACCUGUUUGGUGGCUUGUUUGUUGUUGGGGAAUACUCUGAAGUAUUUUUGCAGGAGACUUUGAAGUCUGGUAUCAGAGCCAGAUUCUAAGGAGAAAACUAGUUACAAUGUCAUCCUUAACAGCAUCCUUAUCUUCUUCUGAUCUCAUUUUACAUAAAUCUAAUUCUAAUAAGUUAGAUUAUCUAUAUGAAAUAUCCAUUGAACAAGAAGCAGUAAAUCCAACCUCCUUACCCCUUAUUAAUCCUUAUUCUGCAUUUGGAAAACAAGCUUUCUCACUAUUAAGGGUCAUCAAAUACUUAAUCAAGCAUCAUCCAAAAGGAGUACGAGAAUAUAUCCAGGCCUCCAAGGUUGAUCAGCAUCAUAUCCUUGCUACAAAAAAAAAACAAUUUAUCCCUCUCUUUAUCCCACCAAACUUUCUUUCUCAAUGGAAGCAACAAGGAUUCACUCAUAUUUAUUUUGGUGCCAUACGUUUUUCCUUAUCUUUGCAUGAAAGAAAAGGUUUACGCAUGGUUGCUAGAAUAGCUCUAUUGGAUACAAGAUUCAAAAAAUAUCAACAUGCAUGUAUUGCGAUAGUCGAAACAACUCUAGACGCAGGAACAGUUUUUAUAACCUUGUUUCCAAAUUUUAAUACGUCUUCAACUUAUGUACCUUUUACUAACGAAAACUCAAAUACUAUAAACAAUCGAAAUUCGCUUCAACCCUGAGUCGUCGCUCAAGUCUCAAGUUCUCUCGUUUAACCCUUGAGCAAAAAUUUGGGCAGCAUGUCCUUUGUAUUUCGCUAUUUUUCAGGCAUUUAUGGUUUCAUUUUUUUUCUCAAUUCAGCCCAAAUUCAACACAUAAGCAAGCUUAACAAAAUAACUCUUCAACUAGGCCCAAUAUUAUCCAAAUACAAGUCAAUUCUAGCAAUGAAACCAUCAAUAUCAAAGCUGGAAACCAGUUUUAAAAAAGAAAUUAUAAGUGGCAGAUGUGUCAUCCUUCGGUAUUUUGAUCAUAACUGCAGUUAGAUAUAUUGGAUCAAGGUAAAUUUUAUGGCGUUUUGAAACUAAAAUAUAGACCUACAUUUUCUAUAAAGACAUUAACACCCAAUUCUCGCAUUUUCAGGGUCAAAACAAGACUGUCAGAAGUACAUGAAAACAAGUCAGGAAUAUUAGAGUUUUUUUUUUUGUGCAGUUAGGAAUGCUCUGGUUAAAUCCUAAGCUAACAUGAUCUGAUUGAUCUGAAAUUUUGUAGGUAGAAAGUUAACUCAAAACCCUAUAACUUUCAUGUUUUGUCCAAAAGCUAAUUCAAUCUAAAACAUGGAGAAAUUUGCAGCCCAGCCUGAUACCAAAAAUAAGGCUGAACUGAAAUUCCCUAUCACAUGCUGGAAUUUCAAAUUUUAACAUUACAAAGUCACACUCAAACCCAUAAUCACUUCAUAAGUUCCAUUUUCAAGUUCAAUAACAUCAUUUACUAGUUAAACAACACUAAUCAAAACUGAAGAAGGCAAACCCUAGUUGAAAAUUCUACUACACCAUCAAAAACUAGAAAAUCAACCAUAACAAGUCAAAAUUAAAAACUUCUAUAUCAAAAUUAGCAAGAUUAAGCAAGAGAAAAGGAAGUUUAGGCCUUAUACCUUCCAAUAACUUCUUGCAAGUGAGAAAAAAACCACUACCUUUUAAAAAUUUCACCACACCAAACCUUCCAAUCACCAAGAGGUAAGUUUAAUCGGUUUGAUUUUGUUGAUUUCACUCAAACAAGGGUUGAUUCAAGGUUGGAGUUGCAAACUUUCUUCUCUCUUUUCCCUCCUCUCACUCUCAGCCAACAAGAAAAAAAAUGAAGAACAAAAGAAGCCAAUUUGAAGAUAAGAAGGAAGGAAAUUUGCUUAGUCAAAGUUGGUUUGAUUUUCGCCAAGUGUCGCUUCAUGGAUUAAUCUCAAAAUAUUUUCUAUUCUCCCUUUUUAUUUAGUCCAAAAUUUCGACUGCCUUAAGGGAUAUUUUGGGGCUAAUUUUGCUAAAAUAAAAGUAAGGAGAUUAAAGUAAUAAAGUAGUGUUCAAGUGGUGUAUUCAAUUAGCAGCAAACGGUGCACAUCGAUUCAAACCUAUUUUCCUUAACUCUUGUGUACUUAUGUUUUAACUUAUGAUUCACUCACUUAUUAGUAGCACUUCUAAUCACACCUUUUCUUUUAUCUAAAACUCACUCUUAACCACCAAAUUUAGAACACACACCUCACCAAUUAAUCACACUACUAAAAUACACAAAAAUCAUAUUUUACCCUAACUAUAAAAUUAAGGGUAAAACUCUUAAUUCUAUUAUAUAUUACAACUAUUAAGAAAGUAAAUUUGUAGUAAAGAUAUUAUAAAAUAAUUUAUUCAAAAUAAAAGGAGAUUUUAAGAAAAUAUGCGGGAUUUUGCAAGUCCUCACAUAAACACUUUGGUGACGUGGUUACAUUUGACCCUACAUACCUGACAAAUAAAUAUAAGAUGCCUUUUGUUCCAUUAACUGGAGUUAAUCAUCAUUACCAGUCAAUUUUGUUUGGGGGUGCUCUGCUUUAGGAUGAAACCGAAGAAUCGUUUGUUUGGUUGUUGAAAACUUGGUUAGAAGCAAUGCUUGGGUGCCUUCUUAAAAGUGUCAAUGUUUGGGUGCCUUCUUAAAAGUGUCAUUACUGCGAUAACAAAUACUGUUAGAAACAACUAAUUGGAGGCCUUUCCCCUUUCGAAACAAAACAACUAAUUGGAGGCCUUUCCCCUUUCGAAAUUCUCCUUUUUUAAAAAAAUAUUAACUAAAGUUUCAAAAAAUUGAAUUUUGAGGUUUCAAGCUUAGGGAGGCAGGAAAAAUUGGUUGAGCCUCUGUACACAAGGUUGAGAAUAAUGCAAAUCCUACUAACUAAACUAGGGUGAAAGGGGGAGAAAUAGAUAAUGCAAUGAAUGGAACCUUGGAAUCCUUUCAAAGCUCGAGUAACUUUUCUUGCACAAGCCUCGCAACGCAUGUCAACCUUGAGAACAAUCUCCUGAACCUCUUCUUCCUUCUUUUCUUCUUUCGUGUCCCCUUCUUCUUCUUUUUUACUAGUGUCUUCUUUGUUUCCCAGUAUUUGUUUCUUUUCCUCCUCCUUGUUCGCUUCCUCUUUCUUCUCCUACAGCAUACCAUGCAUGAGAUCAAUGAGAAAAUGAUAGCAAAACUUAUAGUAGUUACUGGGAUUUCCUUCCAUUCAUUCGAGGGAGCAAUUAGAAUAAUCAUGUGCAAGGAUAUUUGGAAGUAGAAAACUAAAAACUUGCUUCGCCUAUAUCGUCUAAUUCUGACAAGCCCCUCUUCCAAGCUAAUACUACUAAUCAGUAUAGUAGGCAUACAGCAAGCUCGGGGCUUUGGGGUGAAGGAAAAUGGGAAGAGAGGAACAUGUAAUUUAAGUAGCGGGUGGUCGCGGUCUGGUGGUACUGCCUACACUGCCCGGUGCCCACUGCUGCGGCUGCUGCUCCAAAAUUCCAAAUUUCAUUAAAGCGAGUUACUUACGGUGCUGCCCUUCAGCUGACUCAGCACCUCAUAAUUUUGGCCCCCUUGUUAUGAUUCUAUCUCCGACUACGAGUACAUCAUCUGCAAAUGUAGCAGUCGCCUUUGACUGAUUAAAUAGUAGUCUGACACUACCGUAAUUUAGGAAAAAAUAUAUAUAGUAAAUAAAAUCUUGCAUGCGUGGAAGAGGAAAUACUAAGAAUUAUUACGGAGAUGGAUGGGAAAGGAUUCCAACUUUGUAAAAGCCCUUGGAGUUAUCCUGCAAGCAAAAGCCAAACGAAUGGUCGGCCUGGCAAGGGCUAUCAGGAUCUUUAAAAAAGAAAAGUUGGAAUCUAGCGGGACCCCCCCCAAUUUAUUACCAGUUUUCAGGAAACCAUUCACUGUAUAUAUGUGACGCUUCUGGCUUCCGCUCAUGUAUAUAACCAUUCACUGUAACUAUUGUGUGUGUAUAUAUAUAUAUAUAUAUAGGAGUAUGUUUUUAAUUUGAUGACAACUGUAACUAUUUUAACUGCAGCUGGAUAAAUAUACUGGACGGACCAUAGCUUCAACAUUGCACGUUAUGGGAAAGAUUGCAAGUUGCUGUUCAAAUGUUUUGACGACAUUUUCAAACUUAGCUAGGCGCAAAAUGUUAAAUAGAAAAACAGACGUACAGGUGCAGGAAAGAAACAAUUAAUGCAGCUCGUCAUUCCAAGAGAAAUCGAACACUGGUAUACGUCUAAAAGUGAGUAGUAAUAAAAAAAAAUAGAAAAGUUGGGGGAAGAAGGAUAAGUUUUGGCGAAUAGACAAAGAGUAACCGACGUCCCGAAGUGGGGCGAUUUUUUUUUGAAAGCUUUGCGUACACUAACAUAUCAUAUAUAGUGAUGACGACGGUAUACUUGUGUAGGAGGGAUGGAAAGGUUAUCCUGACCUGAAAUCACAGAGAAAGAAGCGGCCACCACAAUUUUUAAAGGACGAGGCUGUAACAUUUGACAAAGACGGCAGCCCACUGCAAAAGUGGUCCAAGUUCCAUGGAUCUCAAAUGGUUGAGGAAUUCUUCGAUACUAUCACCAACAACAUGUUGGUACAUGUAGUAGUUAAAUCAAGUCUUGGUUUCCUAGUCGGUAUUGGUUUCUUUAAGUCCAAGUCCAAUUGUAUUCCCUUUGUGAUUUGGAAGCUAAGUUUUAGGAGACAAAGUGGUCUAUAUAAACCACUACUGGUAGCCUUGUUACUGUGAUCCGAGAAUUGCAAACAAUCCAUGAAGUUUGCCUCCUGAAGAUUUUGUCAUCCUUCGUUUCUUUCUUUAGCUGUCCCGUUUGUUUAUAUAUAUAAAUAUUCCGCUGCCAAGCUAUUACUUUGUGUGUGUGAUUCGCUUGAAUUAUUCUAUCCUGUGGGUUAGUUUCCUACAAAGUGGUAUCAGAGCUUUGUCUGAGAUCCUGAUAAAUUAAAAUAUGGAUCCAAAUUAUUUGCACAAUUGUCACGUUUUUAUCUUCGAUGGUAAAAACGAUUUUGAGGUUUGGAGGUCGAUGAUGAAGAAUUUUUUUCAAAAUAUUGGAGUUUAGAAUAUUGUCGAAACAGGAUAUACGGAGUCGAUAGAAGGUAUAGAAUUAUCAAGCGAUGCAGUUAAAGAAUUAGAGAGAAAUAGACAGUUGGAUUGCAAGGUAAUGUACUUUCUCAACACUCAAGUCCAGUUGCAUGUUGCCAAAAAAUUUAUACAUGCAAAGUCGGCAAAAGAGGCUUGGACAAUUUUGGUGAACUCAAAUCGAGGUGCUGCUAACGUGAGAAAAAUCAGAUUGCAGGAACUUAGGAGACAAUUUGAGUUGGCCCAGAUGAAAUCUACGGAGUCAGUUAAAGAUUUUAUUAGCACAAUUAAAGAAAUUGUCAAUGAUAUGGAGUCCAAUGGUGAGAAUUUGGAAAAGGUUAGAGUUGUUGAAAAAGUUUUAAGAUCUCUAACUGCCAAAUUUCACACCAAGAAAACGGUCCUUGAAGCCACAAAGGACCUUGACAAUUUGUCACUUGCUGAAUUGGAAGGUGAAUUGCUGACGUAUGAGAUGUCCCUGAAUUAGCAGCCAUCAGAUACAGUAGAGGAGGUGUUACAAGCCAAGGUAGAUCACCCAAAAGAAAAAGAGGAGGUGAAUCGUAUGGACACAAAUCAAAGGGGCCAGAACUUCAGAGGUAGAGAACGUGGAGGCAGAGGUAACUCUCGUGGUCGUGGAAGAGGUAAUUAUUCUUACCAACCCAGAAACAAUUCUAAUAGGGAUCAGAAAAAUAGUCAACAACAAAGUCAAAAAAAUAAUUUUCAAAGGCGUGAUAGAUCUAAUGUCCAAUGUUAUAAUUGUGGUAAAAUUGGUCAUUAUCAGAAUGAAUGUUGGUCUAAUAGAGAGGUGUAUGCUAAAGUGGCUGAAAAUAGUAGUGAUAGAGAGGAGACUUUAUUGUUUUCUAGUUCUACAUCUGAAGAGUUUAUGAAGAAUGAUUGGUUUAUUGAUUCUGGUUGUAGUAAUCAUAUGUGUGGUAAAAAGGAGAUGUUUUCUGAUUUGGAUGAAUCUUUUCAUGCAUCUGUGAGAUUUGGAAACAAUGAAACAGUGCAUGUUCUUGGAAAAGAAAAAAUCAGAAUUAUCUUGCAAGAUGGGCCUUCGAAUUAUAUUUCUGAUGUUUUCUGUGUACCAAGUUUAUAUCAUAAUUUGUUGAGUUUGGGACAACUGUCUGAGAAAGGUUAUGACUUGCAUUUUAAAUAUGGCGAUGGCACCAUAAGUGAUGAGAAAUUGGGAUUAAUUGCUAAGGUAAAGAUGAACCGUAGUCGUUUAUGGCCCCUUUCUCUUAAUUGUGGCGAUUUACCUUGCUUUAAUUCCAUGACUUGUGAUGAUGCUUGGUUAUGGCAUAUGCGUUUUGGGCAUUUGAAUUUUGAGAGCUUGAAAUUUCUUGAAAGAAAGAAAUUAGUUAUUGGGUUGCCUUCUGUUGAGUUUCCUGACAAGAAGUGUGAGUCUUGUAUUUUGGGAAAGAAGCACAGGGAUCAUUUUCCAAAAGGCAAGACUUGGAGGGCAAAUCGACCACUUGAACUGAUUCAUUCAGAUUUAUGCUCAGUUGAAGUUCCUUCCAAUGGUGGUAGUAAGUAUUUUAUCACCUUCAUUGAUGAUUUCAGUAGGAAGACAUGGGUGUAUUUUUUAAGGAAUAAAUCUGAUGCAUGUGAUGUGUUUAAAAAGUUCAAAAAUUAUAUAGAGAAGCAGAGUGGCUACUCUAUUAAAAUUUUGAGAACUGACUGAGGCACUGAGUAUCUUGUUUGUGAUGACUAUUUAGUGGAAAGUGGUAUAAAACAUCAAUUGACAGCCAGAUAUACACCUAGCAAAAUGGUGUGGCAGAAAGGAAGAAUAGGACUGUGAUGGACAUGGUGAGAUCUAUGAUGCACUUUAAACGUAUUCCUAAAUCUUUUUGGGCAAAAGCAGUCUAUUGUGCUAUUUAUGUUUUGAACAGGUGUCCUACUAGAUGCAAUUUUGGGAAGACCCCACAAGAGGUUUGGACUGGCAUGAAACCGGAUAUCUCUCACUUCAAGGUAUUUGGUUGUCUUGCGUAUGCACAUGUUCCAGAUCAGUUGAGAAAGAAAUUGGAUGACAAAGCAGAGAAGUGUAUUUUUAUUGGAUAUAGUCAUGAGACAAAAGGGUAUAAAUUAUUCAAUCCAAACACAGGAAAUGUGAUUGUUAGCAGAGAUGUGAUUUUUGAUGAACAUGGAGCUUGGAAUUGGUCCAAACAAGAUCCCGAGACAUCGCCAAAGCACCCAUCCAUUUCUCCCAUUAUGGGACCAAGUGCUGAUAAGCAAGCAGUGGAGCAAGUUGUACAACCUCUUGGUGAUCCUUCAUCUUCCGCUAUUCAGGUUGAGACAUCCAGUCGACCACAGAGAGAACGACGCAUGCCAACCUGAUUUGAUGAUUAUGUUGUUGGCACAGAUGAUGAUUUAACUAAUGAAGCAAUUGUAAAUUUUGCUCUUUUUGCAGAUUGUGAUCCUGUCUCAUUUAAAGAAGCUGUCAAAGAUGAUCGUUGGGUUCGUGCAAUGGAUGAAGAAAUUCAUGCCAUUGAGAAAAAUAAUACAUGGGAGUUGACCACUAUCCCACCUGAAAAGAAGUCAAUUGGAGUGAAAUGGGUAUAUAAGACAAAGUAUAAGCCAACAGGAGAGGUGGAUCGCUUCAAAGCGAGAUUGGUUGUCAAAGGCUAUAAGCAGAAGGCAGGUAUUGAUUAUUUUGAAAUUUUUGCACCAGUUGCCAGACUUGAUAUGAUACGUAUGAUUGUAUCACCUGCUGCAAAUAAUUGCUGGAAAAUUCAUCAAAUGGAUGUAAAAUUUGUAUUUUUAAAUGGUUUUCUUCAAGAAGAGGUAUAUGUUGAGCAGCCUGCAGGUUAUGUUAGAAAGGGUCAAGAAGGCAAAGUAUAUAGAUUGAAAAAGGCAUUAUACGGGUUGAAACAAGCUCCUAGAGUUUGGUAUACUCGCAUCGAUACUUAUUUUAUUGAGCAUGAUUUUUUGAGAUGUCCAUAUGAGCAUACUCUGUACAUCAAAUUCAAUCCUGGAGGAGAUGUCCUUAUUGUAUGCUUGUAUGUGGAUGACUUGAUAUUUACAGGUCUCAGGUAUUUAACUUCUACGAGGCCUGACAUCACUUAUGGAGUUGGUUUGAUUAGUAGAUUCAUGGAAUCUCCACGCCAGUCUCACUUGCAAGCUGCUAAGAGAAUUUUGAGAUACAUUCAAGGUACACAAUCUGACGGUAUAUUUUAUUCAUCUUCACAUGAUAACAAUCUUGUUGGAUACACUGAUAGUGAUUGGGCUAGUGACACAAUACAAAGGAGAAGCACUUCUGGUUAUGCAUUUUACUUGGGAUCUGGUGUAUUUUCUUGGUCCUCAAAGAAACAACAGGUGGUUGCUUUGUCCACAGCAGAAGCGGAGUACAUGGCAGCUACAAGUAGUGCUACUCAAGCACUUUGGUUGCGGAGAAUGCUUGGAUUCUUGCAACACAAGCAAGAUGGUCCUACCACAAUAUUUUGUGAUAGCAUGUCUGCUAUUGAGUUGACAAAAAAUCCAGUUUUUCAUGGGCGCAGCACACAUAUUGACAUCAAGUAUCAUUUUAUUCGUGAGUUGGUUUAAGAGCAAGAAAUUGUCAUUGACUAUUGCAAAAGGGAAGAUCAAGUAGCUGAUAUUUUGACAAAGCCGCACAAAUUGGAGAUGUUCAUAAAAUUGAAGAAGAUGCUCGGCAUGGUGAAAUUUGAAGAUCUUGAUUUAAGGGAGGCUAUGUAGUAGUUAAAUCAAGUCUUGGUUUCCUAGUCGGUAUUGGUUUCUUUAAGUCCAAGUCCAAUUUUAUUCCCUUUGUGAUUUGGAAGCUAAGUUUUAGGAGACAAAGUGGUCUAUAUAAACCACUACUGGUAGCCUUGUUACUGUGAGCCGAGAAUUGCAAACAAUCCAUGAAGUUUGCCUCCUGAAGAUUUUGUCGCCCUUCGUUUCUUUCUUUAGCUGUCCCGUUUGUUUAUAUAUAUAAAUAUUCCGCUACCAAGUUAUUACUUUGUGUGUGUGAUUCGCUUGAAUUAUUCUAUCCUGUGGGUUAGUUUCCUACAGUACAUGACACAUUAUUAUUAUGAUUUCAAACCGUACCUAGAAGAUAUAUUUUUGGAUGAAGAAAGACAGACAAUUCAUAUUCAUGUCCAAAGGCAUUUUGCCUGGUGCCUGGCUCUGCAGCCAGUCUCAUGGGCCUCGCUGUGUAGUUUCAAGAGUGAGCCCAUCGAAUUGCUACGAACAGAACUGGGUUUCAAGAUGGGCCGCAUUUCCUUUCCAUUCCUUCUUCAAUUCCUCCAGCGCACGCCAUCCACUCAACUAGUCAAGUGACGAUUAUUCGUUAUUCAAUUCCUCCAGCGUACAUGAUCCACUCAACUGGUCGAGUCAAGUGACUUCGAAUUCGUUAUUCAAUUCCAGGGUACGAACAGGGAUACCUUUAUGGUAGGAAGCCUUUGACCAUUCCUAUCGUAGGCAGCUUCUCAGAGCAUGACACGUGUUGGAGUUGGAUGGAGUGCAAACGGAGAUGUUAAAUUGUUGGAGAACGCGUGAAGAGCAAAUCUCAAAUUUUGGUCUGUGGCCAGAAGCAAAAAAAGCACAAGUUUGGACUUCCGUUUUCCAAAUCAGUAGGUUGGGGUAGGGAAGGGUAAUUGCACGUCAGAACCACUGGCAUUUAUGCAUUUGCAGUUGUACCCGUUAGGAGCGGAAAAAUAUUGAAAAUGCCUUGGACAAAGAAAUAUGCGCAAAGAAGGUACUGAAGUUUUAACAAAUAAUAAAUGUAAAUGUCACACGUGUCAGGGAUAAUAACUUGAAAGAAGGAAAAGUGGAGCAGAGGUAAACGUAGUAGUUCAACGGCAACGUGAAACACAAAGAGAUUGAAGCCUUCAUUAUAUUUAUAUACACAUAUAAAUUUAGUACCCAAGUGUUUAGGUUAAGCAUCCGGUAAAAUGGUCCCAUAACUAUCGUUACGAUAAAUAAAAUAGUUUUAGACAUGAUGUAAUUGGUUAUAAAAAUUUUAGCGACCAUUUGAUUACCCGUUAGACCUAUCCACUUGAAUAGGAUUAUGGGCAAAAAUAAGGGAUUAAAUUUCUCAUCUAAAAUAGUAAGUUAACGUAAUAAAUUAGUAAGUUUUGCAAUCGAAAAGGUAAAUUGUAAUUAAUAUGAAACAUACUUUUUAAAGAGAUAAAUUACAAAAGUAUAUCCCAAAUAUACUUUUGAGGGUGUAAGUUUAUUUGAAGUAAAAGUUUGUUUGUAUACAUAAAUAGUGAUUUUUACUGAUAACAUAGUUAAUUUGAUUAAUGACAAAAAUAUGCUAAUGUAUGGCUAAAAUAUUGUACUAUGCUUAAAAAAACUUAUACGAAGGCCAUAUUUUAGUGUUAUUUGAAAUAACACUAAAAUGUAUUAUUAAUGAUUAAAACUGAGUACCUUACUUAGUAGGUACUGUUAAUAUACUUGUAUACAUAUUUGAUCGUAUGUGAAUAAAUAAGUAUUUUUGAAAUUUGUAGGGAAAUUAAUCUUUUCUUUUGGAGUUUUAAAAGAAACAAAGCGAAAACAUUUUUCCUCAGAGCACAAAAAUUCACAAAUUAAAGUAGUUGGUACAAAAGGGAAAGAGACAUUCUGAAUAUCAUUGUUUAAAGUACUAAAUAAAUGAGAUGUAAAAUGGUUGUUAAAAACAGGUGUAUUGACAUAUAAUAAAGGAAAGUCAUAAAGAGCUAGCCAUUUACAGGAAAAGUUAUCAUUCAUAAAAAUAGCAACGCUUCACGGUUUUCUUAUCAGUCUUGUAACAUAUGAGCAAAGUGGCAAUAAUUAAAAUAGUAUUUUUUUUCGAUUUGUACAUAUUUAAUUAAUAUUUUUUGCUUUUUAAAAAAAUGAAUGAAAAUGUUCUAUGAGAAAACACAUAAGUCAAAAGAAAUGGUCUAAAAGGGAAAAUAAUAGCAGAUACGUACAGUACUUGUAGUUCAUGUUCGAAGGACUAUAGUGCUGUUUUUAAAAAAAUAUCCCGAAAAAUAUCUAAUUCAAAUGGAACCGAUUCUUUACUAUUUAAAAUGUCAAAUCUGUGAUUGUUUUUGAACUGUUAUCCAUUGGUAUCGUAAAGUAUUAUUUUUUCAUCAAAUACCGCCUCUUUAACACCAAUUUUCACAUAAACAAAUUUAUUUAUCGGAUAAAAAGUAUAAAAAUUUAUUUUUGAAUAAAACACUAGCUCUUUAUGGCUUUCCUCCAUUAUAAGAACAGAUUACCCAUUUUUGCAUAAACAAAUUUAUUUUUCGGAUGAAAUAAAAAUAAAUCAGUUUUUCAGUAAAACAGUAACUCAUUAUGGGUUUCCUCCAUUAUAAAAACAGAGUACUCAUUUUAGCCCCUCUAAAAAAAAAUCUUGACUUUGUCACUAACUGAAAUGUUUGUAACUGAGAUUUAUCUAUGGUGAAUGUAUGAAACAUAAUUUUUUCACUGUAUUGAAUUUAUAUGAUGAAAAAUGAAAUAGGUGAAUUGGAUUAGUGAGCAUCAGUUUUGUAAAUGAUUGUGAGAGUAAACUAUAUUAUAACAAUAAAAUACGUUGAAUUGUGAAAAUUAUAAUUGAAACAUGCUCCUAAAUUUUGGAUAUGUGACUUUCCUAGUUGCGAAUUUCUUAAAUUAACAGUUAGUUAUUACUAUGAGUAUUGUGGUAAGUGUGAGAUGUGAAUGUCAGUAAUAACUGUUAGUUAUUAGUCUCAGUAAAAUCAGCAGUAAAUGUGAGAUAUUAAUUGAAAUUUUCAGAUAUCAUUUUACAUGGGUGGUUAUUAUCUGUUAGUUAAAAUUUUGGAGUUUUAAUUUUAUGGGUUAGAAGGGAAAACGUGAGAGAAAUGUGGGACAAACAUGAGCAUGAUUAUAGGAUUUAUACGACCAGUUAUAGGAUUAGUUGUCAGGUAAACAUUUCUUAAUUUUAGAAAUGUAAAAUUGUAAUAAAAUAGUAUUCAGACAACAUGACAAUUUGGAAAGCUCCUUAUCCAAAAUUCCCUCUGCAAUACAUAUAUAUUAGUCUUUUGACCCGUGCUAUGCACGGGAUUAUAUUUCAUAUUAAAAUAAUAUUGUAUAUAUUUAUAUAUUGUGGUACAGAAUAAUAUAUAUAUAUUAUUUUAAAGAAGUGCAUGUUUAACAUGUUGAAAAAAUUUUAAUUUAUAAUGAUUUACAUGAUAGAGAAAUUGUUAACGCAUUUAAGGUGAGGGUUAGGUUGGGUGGUAAGGUGAGAAGAGUUUUCUAAAAAAAAAUCAAUUUAUCAGUACCCAGCAAAACAUAUUAUGUUAUACCCAUAUAUCAAAACUUAUAAUAUAAAAAAAUAAAUUAUAACCAAUUUAUUUUCUUCCAUUUUUAGAAAAAAAAUCUUUCUCCUAUCUUGUACCUCUAAAAUUGUUGACUGCAUUUAGAUUAGCAUUUUUUUUUAUAAACUUUAACGUAUAUUUAAAAAUGUUAGGAAAUUGGUUUAAUUUCUUUUAGAUAGAAUUCUUAUUUUGUGUGGAAGUAACUAAUUUUCUAAUUGGUUUUAGUUACUUGAAAUAGUAGUCAAGAAAUAUUCUAUUUAGUUUAGGAUUAAAAGUUAUUCUAUGUAAAUUUAGGAAAUAGUAUUGGUUUCCAAUUGUUAUUUGAUUUUUUGGUAGUAAUGUUCCCUAUAAAUAGAUGGGUUGGCAUACUACACAGAGAGACACACAAAAGAGACACACAAGGAGACACAAGGGGCAUCAUGUAGCCUUAUACAUGGGGUGUGAGAGAGGGUUCUUGGGAGAUGAGAAAUGGUAUACAAGGGUUGGGUUUGGGUUCAAUUUGUAUUCUUGUAUAGGGUUUUUCUCUCAUAAUAAAGAACAGGUUUCUCUCCGUGGACGUAGGCUCAAUGAUGGAGCCGAACCACGUUAAAUAUUGUGUGUCGUUUAUCUUUCAUACUUGUGGAUUAUUUGCCAUUAAAUUGUUGUGCACUUGAUAUCUCAAUAGUUGUUUAUUCCGCAUUUGGAUCCUAACAAGUGGUAUCAGAGCUUGAUUGCGAGACUGAGCUGCUCAAGGUUCGUAGUUGGAUCCUAAUUAAUUAUUGAGAUCAAGUAGAUUGGUAGCUGUUACUAAUUGAACAAUUUAAUGAAUGGUAUUCUUGUUUCAAUGGUUUGGCAAAAAUCAUUGAUGGUGAAUGAUAGAAAGUCAAAAAGCAUGAAGAUACUUGACGAUGAAUCUAGGUAAGUGAUUCAAGGGUCAAGCAAAAGGUAGAGUCCAAUAUUAAUUUUGGACGUGAAUCGGUGGAGACUUUCUCACACCUCCAACGGUUGAUAUUUCAUUUCGAUGAAUUUUAGAUUUUAGUUAUAUUUUUUGGGUGGUGUGGCACGUGUCCCAAAGAAACAAAGAGAUCUAAUUUCUAUGCAUCAGAAGACUCUGACAGUUACGAAUUUUUUGUUUUAAGUGGAGUCUUGAAAACCACAUAUGGCGAGACAGUCCUGAGGAUGGGAAGAAGUAUGGUGACUUUACCACUUGAUUGCCUCAAUGGUUAGGGUUAGAGCUCACAGAAGGGGAUCCCAGAUUGUAAGUGGUGGUAAGAAGAAAUCCUGCAAAGGGAGAUGGUGAAUUGAGACACCUUCUCACGAGUCAACUGGAGGUUGGACUCGGGGUAACUACACAUGUUCGUUUGCCGAUUGAAUCAAUUUGAUGUCAGGAUUGUAUUGAUUCCGGUGUGUAGUUUGGUACCAUAUUAUUUGGUAGUUGAAGGCAAAUGGUUGCUAAAAGAAACUUUCGCCAAGGUGGAGAUGUGUUAGGAAAUUGACUUAAUUUCUUUUAGAUAGAAUUCUUGUUUUGUGUGGAAGUAACUAGUUUUCUAAUUGGUUUUAGUUACUUGAAGUAGUAGCCAAGAAAUAUUCUAUUUAGUUUAGAAUUAGAAGUUAUUCUAUGUAAGUUUAGGAAAUAGUAUUGGUUUCCAAUUGUUAUUUGAUUUUUUGGCAGUAAUGUUCCCUAUUAAUAGAUGGGUUGGCAUACUAUACAGAGAGACACACAAAAGAAACACACAAGGAGACACAAGGGGCAUCAUAUAGCCUUAUACAUUGGGUGUGAAAGAGGGUUCUUGAGAGAUGAGAGAUGAUAUACAAGGGUUGGACUUGGGUUCAAGUUGUAUUCUUGUAUAGGGUUUUUCUUUCAUAAUAAAGAACAGGUUUCUCUCCGUGGACGUAGGCUCAAUGGUGGAGUUGAACCACGUUAAAUAUUGUGUGUCGUUUAUCUUUCAUACUUGUGGCUUAUUUGCCAUUAAAUUGUUGUGCACUUGAUAUCUUAAUAGUUGUUUAUUCCGCGUUUGAAUCCUAACAAAAAAAAAUCUCUGUAAUGUAUAUUUUUAGAGUUCUCAAAAUUAUUAAAAAUCACCAUCAUAUCUCUCUUUUCUUAUCCGUCAGCUAGUCAUUAGAUGCCGUCUACGACUUUCGUAUCUUCUAUCAUGGUACCACUCUCUCUAUUUUUUUUUUGUCAUGUCUGUCAUAUCCCUGCAAUCCCCUUUCUUCUUCUCUCCCUACUCCGCCCAUCCUUGUAACCCACAUUUCUUCUUCAACCUUUCUCGCCACUUUUCAACUCCUCACCAUUUUCUUCCCUCCCUUCUCCCCCCAUACCCAACUUCUAAAUUCAUAUCCAUGUACCCAAUAUAUUUAACUUUACUAAUCAUAAUCAAAAUAUAAAAUUGAAAAUUGAUUACAAUGGUUGCAAUUAUUAGUAUCUAAAAAUGGAAAUGAAAAACUGAUAAUAUCUAUAAUAUUCUCAAAUACUACAAUCAAUAUAUAUAUAUAUAUAUAUAUAUAUAUAUAUAUAUAUAUAUAUAUAUAUAUAUAUAUAUAUAUAUAUAUAUAUAUAUAUUUAACAUAGCAAAUACAUAUUUACAUAUGAAGACGGUAAUAAGAAUACAUAAAAUAAUUAAUGAUAUCAAAAGUUAUCCUUAGUGUUUGGGUUUUACAUUCUUAUUCAAAUCUAAUCAGGGUCAAAUUUGGAUUAGAUAUAUACAAAUUAAGUAGUAUUUUAGGGUCGAAUGUUCUAUAUUUUUUUCUUAAACUAUAAUGUUACUUUUUUAAAAUUUUUGGUAAAAUUGGUGUUGUUAUUAUAAUAUUUAUCAAAAAAAAUUCCCACGUUAAAAGGCCAGUAGUACUUUUUUUUUUAUUUAGUGAUUUCAUAAUUUAGAUUUCAUGAAUGGUACCAUUCUUGAUUUUUUAAAUCCACGACAUUAUUUCCUUUUGUUUUCUGUAUAAUUUUGCUAUUUUACUUAGGAUUACUAAGUUAAAAGAUAAAAUAUUAUCAUUUACUUUUUUACUUUUACUAAGUUUGGUAAUGUUUUCUCUUUAUUUACCCUCCCACUAAUAAAUUUCAAACCAAAUUCCUAUAUAAGUGGAGCCACUUCUUACUUAUUUAAAUUAGAAAGGCAUGGAAGCCACUUCUUAUUUAGAAAAAUGUUAUUUGCACUCCAUUUUUUAUUAUUUGUAAUUCCACCAUUUGUUUUAUCAUAUAGUCUAAUUAAUGAAAACUAUAUGAUCAAAAUGAUUAUUGAAGUGUGAAUAACAAAAAUAUAGUGUAAAUAAUCUUACUUAUUUAAAUUAAUAAGAAAGCAUGAAAGGAUGUCAUAUUUGUUAUCUCUUGUUAUGGUCUUAUAGAAGUUUUAAUUGGAGUAGAAUCAUAAAUAACGCAAGGUAAUCGAAAACGUGAUAGGUUGAAGUACAAAUAAGAUAACAUGCACAUUAACCAACAAUUUGAAAUGAAAUGAUUUUAAAAAGUAACUAACAAUUUCAAAUGUGAAGAGUAGAUGUGGAAGUUAAGAGAAAUAUAUUUUAUAAAUUAAAUUAAAUGUGAAAUGCUAGAAAAAUAGAAUUGAUAGUGGGAAGAUGUGAAAGUUUGUUGCUAAAAAUUCUUUCUCAAAUUUAUAUAGAUAUAGAUAAAUAUAGAUGUCUUUUUUUUAGUGGUUCAAUCUCAUAUUCGUAAACUAUCUGCAGAAAAAAAAAAUUCUGGACUAUACUAAUUUUGUUAUACCAACUCUGUUAUUCUUAUUAGUGUAUUAAUUGUUACGCUAUUUCUCUCAUUUUGUUGGGCCUACAUUAAUACAAGUGUAAUUGUUAUUAUGUCUCGUGUCCCAGAAAAUACAUAAUAUCCUAUUCAGGUGGAUACGUGCAACAGAUAAUCAAAUUGAUGGUAAAAAUUUAGAAUGAAUAAGUUGCUUUUGCAUAAUGGUUGUAAAGGUUUCUUGAGACUUUAUGAAUUAGGUGUCUUGCGUUUGCAAAAAGAAUUUCAGAAGAUUUUUUGUAUUGGAAAUGGAGUUAAAACUUGCUAUAGGUUACUUUCAUGUAUUUCAAUCUUAUCGUAAAGGGUAAUUUGCUGUUGAACCUAAUUUUUUUUCCGAUUAUAUCCAACUAAUAAAUUAACUUAUGAAAAUAGAUAAUUUAUGGAGGAAAACUAUAAGUAGCUGGUGCUUAUUUUGAAAAAUAUAUUUAUUUUUAUUUUAUCCAAUAAAUAAAUUAGCUUAUGAAAAAUGGGUACUCUGUUCUUAUAAUGGAGGAAAAUCAUAAAGAGCUAGUGUUUUAUUCAAAAACGGAUCUAUUUUUAUUUUAUCCUAUAAAUAAAAUUUUUGUAUGCAAAAAUGGGUACUCUAUUCUUAUAAUGGAGGAAAGUCAGGAAGAGCUAGUAUUUUAUGGAAAAAUGUGUUUAUUUUUAGUUUAGCCGAUAAAUAAAAUUUUUUAUUUAUAGAAAAAUGGGUACACUGUUCUUAUAAUGGAAAAAAGUCAUAAAAAGCUAGUGUUUUAUUGGAAAAUUGGUUUAUUUUUAUUUGAUCUGAUAAAUAAAAUUUUUUAUGAGAAAAACGGGCACUGUGUUCUUAUAAUGGAGGAAAGUCACAAAGAGCUAGUGUCUUAUUGGAAAAUGGGUUUAUGCAGAAUUUUAUUUUAUCCAUAAAUUUUUUUUAUGGAAAAAUGUGUACUCUAUUCUUAUAAUGGCGGAAAGCCAUAAAGAACUAGUGUUGUAUUCAAAAAUAGGUUUAUUUUUAUUUUAUCCGAUAAAUAAAUUUUUUUAUGGAUGUCUAGAUAAAAUUUAUUGAUCGGAUUAAAAGAAAAUUUAUUUUAACACUGAUUUUUCCAAAAACAAAUUUUCUUUUCAAAAAAAAAAGAAAAUAAACCCGUUUUCUAAUAAAACAGUCGCUGUUUAUGGCUAUCCUGCGUUAUAAGGAAAGAGUACCCAUUUUCUCAAAAACAAAUUUAUUUAUCGAAAUAAAAUAAACAUAAAGGCGUUUUACAGUUAACCACCCGCUAUUUACGGCUUGCCUCCAUAAAUUAUCCACUUCACUAUUUUUCAUAAGUUAAUUUACUAGUUGGAUAAAAUUGGAAUAAAAUUAGGUUGAAUAGCAAAUUAGCCUUUAGGAUAAAAUUGAAAUACAGGAAAGUAACCUAUAGCAAGUUUUAACUCCGUUUCCACUACAAAAAAUCUUCUGCAAUUGUUUUUGCAAACGCAAGAAGAAUAAUUCAUAAAGUCUCAAGAAACCUUUACAACCGUUAUGCAAAAACAACUUAUUCAUUCUAAAAUUUUAGCAUCAAUUUGAUUACCUAUUGGACGUAUCAACAUCAAUAAGAUAAUAUGUAUUUUCUGAUACACGAGACAUAAUAAGAAUUAAACUUGCAUUAAUGUAGGCCUAACAAAAUGAGAAAAGUGGCAUAACAAAUAAUACAAUAAUAAGAAUAACAUAUUUGGUAUAACAAAUUUAGUGUAGUCUAGAAUUUUAUUUUUUUCUACAGAUAGUUCACGAAUAUAAGGUGCAACCACUAAAAAGAAUGACAUGCAUAUGUAAUGUAAAAAUGAAUAUAAAAUGAAUGUAGUUACAUUGUGUCAUCCGGUAUUCGGGUCCACAGUGGAAGCCGAACUUCAAUAAUGGAAAGCCAGAGUUGAAGCUUACUUCAGACGCUAUGGGAAAGAAGUGGGGUCACCAAUAUUUGGUACAAAGGAAAGACUUGCAAUAACAUAAUACGGAAGUCAGUCUGUUGUUUGCUUCCAUCCGCACACGCUUCUACUUGAUUUUCUAUGCACGCGCUCUCCAACAAUUUAACAUCUCCGUUUGGACCGUUUUGCCUCCAACACGCUCUCUGCCGACAUUCCUACCGUAGGCAGAUUCCUACCAUAAAGGUUUCGGUACGGAACAGGUCCAUUCAACCAAUGUUUUCAGAACCGGACCGGACCGGCCGGUUCGACCGGUUGGACCGCGAACCGGCCAUGUCACCGGUCCGGUCUAAUGCUAAAGCCGGAAGUUCAUGGAGAACCGUUGAAACCCGGACGAACCGUGCGAACCGUUAAGAACCGUGAACCGGCGGUUUUUUAAAUUCUUCAACAAAAUAUCAAGAAUGGUGUAGCUAAGAUUCGAACCUGGGUCUCCAACUUUAAAUAUGACAAUCUUACCGCUAGACUGUACUUAAGUUUGUUGAGAAUUCUACUUGACUAAAAAAUAUAUUAAAACAUCAAGUUCUUUUCUUAUUUUUUUUUUUUCAAUUUUUUCUUCUUAACCAUUUUUAACCCAAAUAUCCACAACAAGAUUUUCUCAAGUCUUCACCAUUAUUAUCUGGUUAUUAUCUUUAGCAGAUUGUAAACAAGUUGAAAAUUUCAACUUUUCUUGUUUUCCAACAUUUUAGUAAGUUUAAUUUUUUUCUUUUCAAGGUUUUUUCUAUAUUAUUAUCUUUAGUUGAUUUUUUGCAUUUUCUUCUUUUUCCCCUCAAUUUUCAUAUGUUUCCCUCAUUUUUGUUUUAUUUUUAUUCGAUUAAUUAAGGAUGAAAUUUUUGCAAAAGUAGUGCACAUCCGUGUAGGAAUUGGGUAGGAAUUACAAAUAAUAACAUUGGGCUGGUCAAAAAUAUGGUAGUUAGCACAUAAUCGAAACUAUUGAUAAUUGAAUUUAAAAUAAUUAAUGGUAUAGGAUCAUUGAAUUUAAUAUAACAUGUUAAUUAGUAAUGUUUAGUAGCAAUUAAUUUUUUAUGUGUUUAACUGUAUAUUUGUUUUUCAAAAAUUUUUAGUUUUUUUUAGUUUAAGCAAUUAGAUUUAUAUUUUUAUAAUAAAAUUUUACUUUUUCAGCUUAAGUUGAUGAAAUUGUGAAGGUGGUGUGGUUGCUUAUCAUGCCACUGAUAAAAGUUUGCUAUUCAAAUAGUUUGUUUUAACUUGAACUCUUUUAUGGAUUUUUUUAAGGGUUGUAAAAGAAUUUUAAUAUUUUAUUUAUUUAUUUUUUGUGUUUUUAUUUGUGAUAAUUGGCGCACAUUUGGAUUGUAUCUAUUUAUGUUUAUAAUGAAUUUAUGAAAACUUAUGGUGAAUUAUGAUAUUUUAAUUAUAUUUAUCAUUCCAUGUUUUAUGUAUAACUUUUAGAAAAUUUAUUAUUAUCAUAACUUAAAUUAAGUUAUGUUGGUAAAGUUCAAGUAUAGAAUGAAACAUGCUUAGUACUUAACACUAAAAAAAAAAAAAAAAAAAAAAAAAAAAAAAAAAAAAAAAAAAAAAAAAAAACAGUGAACCUUUGAACCGGCCGGUCGGACCGGUCGAACUGCGAACCGGCCACCUCUCCGGUUCACUGACCGGUCCGAGUUUAAAAACAUUGCAUUCAACUGGUCGAGUCAAGUGACGAUCGAUCAUUCGUUAGCUAGCAAAAUGACGAACUGACAAUAAUGACUUUGAGCUGCUUUACGUCAAUUUAACUUUUUUCUUUAGUUGUUUACUUUUUUCUUUUUUUCGGAAACGUUAACGAUGUAUUGAUCAUAAUAAGAAACUUUACAACAAAAGUUGGGCAAAGGCUCCAGCAGAAGCUUUACAACAGUGCAUAUGCUCGCACUUACAAGGAGUAAUAAUAAUAAUGUUUGAAGCGUGAACGCUAAGCCUAUGACAUAAAUCCAUAUUUGUGGGGUUUUCUUUUUUUUUUUUUUGGUAAUCUAAAAGAUCCAUAUUAAAAUUUAAAUGUCGUACUGAUUGUCCAACGAGUACUACUCAUUAGAAAAAAAAAAUUCAUAGUUAAUUGCAAAGGGCAUAAGGAUAAUGAACUUGAUAAUAAUAAGAUAACGACAUUUUUGGCCUGGUCUUUUAAUUUACGGGAUUGAUUGAUGGCUCUGUACAGUGGUAUUACCAUACAUGCUAACAAGUUUGGUACGUGUCUACAUGAAAACUGUCGGUGUGUAUUUAAAAUAAGAAUUAAUAUUUUCUUUUUCUUUUUCUUUUUCAAAUGUGUUGUUGACAGUCUACUUAACAAAUAUGCAGUCACUUGCACGACAGAGAGAGAGAGGAAGGGGACAAUUAACAUUGGAGGAGUCACUAAUCAGUCGAAGCAUGGAUUGAUGCCACGCCCAAAAAACCAAAAAAAAAAAAAAAAAAUUGUGAUAGCACCAUGUGUAGUGUAAAAUGGUUGGCGCAUGUGGGGGGAAGAUGCAUCAUAUGCCUGGAUAAGCUCUCUCGCUCAUAAUUUCCGUCAGCACAUCAAUCAAACAAAAUACUCACUAAUAAGUAACAACCACCUCACCUUGAAUUCAGAUGCUGCGUUGCAUCUUAAAGCUGUAGAGCUGGGUGGGGAAUGGUGGCCAGGGAUUGGUUGGGAAGAUUGCGGGGGCCUGGGCUGUUCCAAAUUUUAGCUGUGCCAGUCCAAAGGUCGAAGAAGCAAAGGUGCUAAGAGAGGCCAUGAUAGUGAACUGUAGUCAAGUAGUGAAAGCAGUGUGCAGUGAGGAGGAGGAUGUAGUGAUAGCAUCAAUUGUACAUGACAUCAGGAUACUUAGGUUAAAAUUUGAUGAAUGUUGUUUUACCUUUACAAAUAGGGUGAACAAGCCAUAAACUAGCUAAAGUAACUAUUGCUUUGGAACAAAAUACAGAAUGAAAGGAAAACUCCCCAGUUUGGCUGCUGGAACAAGUCCAAGCAGAUUGUAAGGACAGUUGCCCGGCUAUACUGUAAUUGGUUUACUAUUAAUACAAUGUUGCCGUUCUGAUUAAAAAAAAAAAAACCACCUCACCUUCAUUGCUCUUAAGAGUCAUCAUGGUUUUGUGGGAAUUGGGAAUACCUGAAUGAUGGGCAUGGGAGUGCGUAUCUCACUGAAAUUACCUCCGAAAAGCUUUUCCACCGUAACACUUGAGGAUAGAAUAUUUGUCUCGGUCCAAUGUAUAGAUUGUUAUCUUUCAAUGGAUUAAUCUUUCAAGUCCCUGCUGCAUCAAUUGCUAUAGUACUGUUGGAGGUGUACUAGUCAAAAAGCUUCUCUGUAGCACCGCAUAUCUGAUGUGCGGUUAAAGAAAAAACUUUUCCAAACCGUCACAAAUCAGAUGUGCGGUUAAGGGAAAAACAUAUUUUAAUUCAUUUGCCGCAAAUUAGUAUUGCGACAAAAGAUUUAAAAAACAUUUUUUUUCUUGCUCCUUCAAAAUCAUGACCCUUGAUCAUAUGUUAAUCAAUGGUCCAUUUUUGGCUAAAAUAAAAAAAAAUGCAAUCGAAAAUCUUAACUUCAAAAAUUCUUAAGCUGCGAAAAAAAAUAAAAAAUAAAUCAGACAACUUUUAAGUCGAUAUUGUGACUUGCGGCGACCCUUAUGAUAGACAAACUCCCUACAAAACACUACUUUUGUGAUAAUUUUUUAUUUUAACAUUAUUACAAAAAAUUUGCCCAAUUUUUACCCAAAUUAUCCAAAUUUUAUUGCAAAUUGGAUAAAUUGGAUAAUUGAUUUUGACAUUAUUCCGAGAAUAACGUAGGUAAAUUAAAUUUUAGGCUUCCAUGGUUUGGGUUUACAUAUUCGGGUUUUAGUGCUGGGGUUUAGGGAUUAGGAUUCUAGAGUUAGGGUUAGGAUUUUACGAAAAUAAAUAAAUAAAUAAAGGAAUCGCCACACAUGAGCUUUGCAGUGAUUCUUUUUUAAUAUAAUAUUUUUCGCCGCACAUACUUUUGCAAAAAAAAAAAAAAAAAACCUCUCCAUUAGCUUCGUUGGCAAAAAAAAAAAAAAGCAAAUUUAAACAAUUUUUUUAUGAAACCCAACUUCCUAUUUGCGGCGACUCUUUAGGUAAAAACACUCUUCAACUAACACCACUUUUAUGAUAAUUUUUGGUUUUAACAUUAUUCCGAGAAAUUCGCCGCACUGGCUGUGCAUAGCAUAGCCCACCCCUAUUAGUACUACUAGAAAGUAGAUAAAAUUUUUUUUUACGGCAAUGAUAACAUUUUAUAACAUAAUCUAUCAUAAUCUAUAUGGAGGGGAGUAUAAAGAGACUGUGUAUAAGUAGUUAUAAAGUAUAAGAAUCUGACUAGAUCAAAAGGAUACUUUGACACCUCAUUUGAAUUUUUUUCACUGUAAGUGGGGUUCGAACCUCCGACUUAUGGUCCAAAAAGAGGCUUAUAAUUCCUUUUUUUUCACUGCAGACCAUCUUUUUUUUUUUAGGAGGAGAAAGUAGUCUUGAUGACGGCAUCAAAAUUCAACGCCCCUUCCAUUUCAUUUCCACCCUACUUCCAUGCUAGUACUGCAUGCUGCCCCGUUGCUAUCUUUCUAUAUAAAGUCCUCGCACCUAUUCUACCUAAAUGGCUCCUACCAUCUAAUUCAACCAUUUCUUAACAUCAGUUUAGUUUAUUGCUGCCUACAUCCCUUCCCAAACACCCCCCCCUCCCCCCGGGAACAAGAAAAAAAGGAAAAAAACUUCCAUUUCCAACAUUUAUCAUUUGGGCUGUUGAUCAGAUCCACCCAUCGCCACUGACUUGACUCUUUCCUUCAUCAACUAUGGCUGAGAAGGUAAGCCAAUUCUCUUGCUAGCUUUCCCAACCAUCCCUCAAAUGUUCGUGAUAUAUUAUUGUUUUGCAUCUUUUUUUUUUCCUCUUUUAGUGUUUGCUUAAUCUAAAAAUUUUAAUUGCAAGUCUAUGACAGCACAUACAACGUGAAAUAUGCUUCUUUUUAUGUCAAGAUCUCUAGCCACAUCUCUCAGCGUAAAACUAGUAGCACCAUAUAAUUGUGCAUCUUAAUUUUGCAGUUCCUGAUUGUUAUAUAUAUAUAUAUAUAGAGCGACGGAGCUAUGUUUUUUUUUUCUAAGAGAUCAAAAUUUUUCAUAACAAAAUUAUCUCAAUAUAUUAUGUUCAAAAUGAUUUCCACACACACAUAUAUAAACUCUCACAAUAUAAACUAAAAUUAUAAAAAAAUUAAAAAGAUCAACUUUAAUUUUACACAUAUAUCUACAUAUUAUGAAUUAAAAUUUUUAAAACUUAAGGAGCCAUGGCCCAUCAGCCCCUUGGCUUCGUCAUUAUAUAUACAUAUGGAUCGAGUUUGACUAUUUUGCUCCGAUAAUAUAUAUGCAACCAUACAGGUGACUACAAUGAGACUCGAGGUUGAUCUUCAAUGCUCCUGCUCCUACAAGGUCAAGAAAUUCCUCUGCAAAUUUCCUCGUGAGUCUCUUAUAAUUAUCAAUUCUAUCUCUUAUGUUUUCAAUACCAGUAUUACUAGUAGUAGUUCUUCUUUAGAGCAAGCACAGUUGGAUGGAGGACAUCCACCGUUCCACCGACUACAUACAUGGCUAGGCAUGUGUGCCACCAUGGGCUACAGUUUUUUUUUUCCCCUUCUCCAUGAUUAAACAACAAAAGCUGGGUAGUGUGGCUUACGAAACUACUAGUGAUCAGUUAGUGGCUUUAAUUUGUAUGGACAAGAAUUUGAGUUUUUUUUUUUUUUUGGGUGAUGCUCAAUUUUUUUGGACAAGAGAAAUCCAAGACCAGGUAUAUGAUGAGAAGCAAAAUCUGGUGACCAUCACCGUGGUGUGCUGUAGCCCCGAGAAAAUCCGCGACCAAUUAUGUUGCAAGGGUGGUAAAGUCAUUAAGAGUAUUGAGAUCGUGGAGCCACCAAAGCCUAAAGAGCCCGAAAAGCCCAAGCCACCACUUGCAGUGGCGGUCUGCUGUGUCCUAUGUUCGGAAGGGUACGGAGGGGGACGAUGCUGCUGCAGGAACUGGCGGCCUGUGCCCCCGCACGCGUGCGGGUGCGGAUACCGGUAUAGUCAUUGUGAUUAGUUCAGUGAGCAGAUCACUGGCGACUGUACGAUUAUGUGAGAGGAGAGGAGAGGAGAAUUUGAUAUGGGGAAUGAUAUGAUAUGAAAAGCAUCCAAAUUAAUCAUUUAAUUUUGUUUGGUGGGCGGUACAUGCAAAUGCAUUGAAGCAAAAUAAUACUAGCAGUAUUGUGUAGUUAGGGCCUUCAUAGGACCUAUAAUAUAAAAGGAAGAAGAAAAUAAAGUUAAUGUGCAUGCUAUUAUGGAGUAUAUAUAUAGAGAGACGUACAUGUGGGGACUGAUUCAAGUUGGAAGUCACUUAGAAUAAGCUUUUGUAUGUACCCUAAUGAAUAAGUUUUCUUUAAGUGUCAAGGCACACUUUUGUAAAGAUGUUUGAGAGCCGUUGCUCAGAUAUUGUAUAGUUUUGACAUAUUAAUAAAAAUUUUAUCGUUUCGGAAAAGAAAAAAAAAAUGUCAUUGCAUCAAAUUUUUUUCAUUGUUUAUAAUAAUAAUAAUAAUAAUAAUAAUAGAAAUGAUGUCGUUAAAAGUGCAUGUACUCUCUUCUUCUUCUUCUUUAUUAUUAUUAUUUUUAGAUUUCAUUUUCUCGCUUUGCUCUCUAGUAGUAGUAGUAGUAGUGUUAGUAAAUUAAUGUGCUAGUGUAGAUGUUCUAGAUACACAUCUUCUUUCCUGUUUCUUCAUUUCUUAAAUCUCUCCAUUCUUUGCCAGAAAUAAAAUUAAAAAUAAAAUUUUAUAUAUAUAUAUAAGUAGUAAUGUGCUAGCGUCACAGGAAGGAAUGCAGAAAGGAGCCAGUAGUACUUAACAGUCACUUGGGAUCCUCGGUGACAUAUUUUCUAUGCCAAUCCAAUACCACCUCUAAUAUUACGCCAAGUGUCCUAUUAUUAUUUGCACUUUAAUUUUCUAAUAAUUUAAAUUGAUUUGAUUUGACACAAGUUUUCUUUACCUUCUAAACCUUUAAACCAAAAUUAACCGACCGGACCAAUGAUACUCAUCUUAUUACUUGAGCAAGCAGUGAAGUGCGCUGCCAUGGCCGCCCGCUCCAUCGUCCUCACUAUGGCUCAGUAACAACUGACAAAUGGCAGCGUUAUUGAAGAAAUUGGCAACGAAGGCUGCACCGAUGAUCGCAUUCAAUGGAGCUUUUCUAGCCCAAUCCAAGUCUACUUUUCUAAAUUUCCGUAUCCCCUUUGGAGCUAUUGCAGCGGUUUCCGGUGGCAUAUCAUAUUAUUACUACUUCUCUUUUUCAUCCGUGGUAAUUUCUCCCAACUAUUUCAUCUGUGUUUCGGUCACUUGGUCUGCCACGUCACAGCUCUGUCCUCCACAGAUGGAAAUUGUCAGUUGUUACCGAGCCAUAGUGAGGAAGAUGGAGCAGGCGGCCAUGGCAGCGCACUUCACUGCUUGCUCAAGUAAUAAGAUGAGUAUCAUUGGUCCGGUCGGUUAAUUUUGGUUCAAAGAUUUAGAAGGUAGAGAAAACUUGUGUCAAACCAAACCAAUUUGAAUUAUUAGAAAAUUAAACUGCAAAUAAUAAUAGGACACUUGGCGUAAUAUUAGAGGUGGCAUUGGAUUGGCAUAAAAAAUAUGUCACCGAGGAUCCAAGUGCUUAACAGUUGGGUAAAAGUAAAAAUAACGCAUAUGAAUUUGCAUGCCAUCUCAAAUGCUCGCAUGCAAUAAUAAAUGUCAAAAGUUUAGUCAACAAAAGACCGACCAACGUUUUUUUUUUUUUUUUUUUAUAAUAACAUUCAUCAACCAACAACCUUCCAGGACACCAUGGCACGGCAGUAAAUGGAGUAUAUAUAUAUAUAUAUAUAUAGUAGCAAAACAAGACAAGACAAGAGACAGACUCACUCACAGUAACCUAUUUUAGUCAGAUUGAUUAAUUAAUUUCGGGUUAGUUUGGUUGUCUUUGUCUUCACUCUUCUGUAAUAAAUUGUCACUCAGCGCCGGUGUCGUCCUGUUGGAUUGUUACAAAAUAAUUGAGGAGAAAUAAUUGCGAGGUGGUGGAGUCACUAAUUCGUUGUCCUUCCAAUUCCAAAUCCUUUCUUUCACUGGAUCCUUUCAUUGUGGCUCUAGGUUUUGGUUGGAUGUGGCGGCCGGCAUGAAAGUGACGGAGCAGCCCGCAGAGGCUUUUACGAAAUACCGAAGGCUCGAAUCAUGACAAAGAUUUCCCCAUGAAAUUAAUUAAGCUUCAGAGGGAUACCACACACACAUAUUGCCCUCUUUUAACCGGUGCAUCAUUUCAUUUGAGGGAUGGAUCAUGGAGGAGGGCAUUUUCUGCUUCUCUUAUUUUUCUCCUCUCUUCUCUUCUUGAGUAGUGAAUAGUGAUUGCCCUUCUCAAGUACAGAGUACAGUAGUAGUAUAUAGUAGUAGCAACUACUCUCCGUUUUUGAAUUGUACUGCUCCGUUUCAACAUACUACUGUUACUGGUCAUGAGAAAAAAAUUCUUGCUUCAGUUUCUUGUAUGAGGUAGCAGAAAUCUAUAGGUCGAAACUCGAACGAACGUCCGACAAAUGACCUAAGAAAUGAUUUUCCUGGUGCCCAUUGAUCUAUAGAACCCAAUGGCCUAAAAAAUUAGCUAGCUGAAAACACCACCAUCUCCACGGUCCUGGAACCUCACCGGCAGCCCAAUGUAGAAAAAAAAAAAAAAGAAGAAGAAAACUCAAAUGCUGCUGACUGCUCUGCUGAGUGUCGACUGAGAAGGAAGGAAGGAGAGUAGAGAGAAGAAUGGUGGCCGCCGCCUAUUCGCCGUCUCAUCUCUCUCGCGACCCACACCUCUUCUGUAACUCUCUUUAUCCCACUCACCUCCACCAACUCGGAAUCAUCCCCCAUAACGCCCUCGCUUUUCAUCCUCUCAAGCCCCAUCCAAAACCUUCCCUCUCUAUACCGGCUUCCCAACAACAAUCCCCCUCAAUUUCCCAAAUUCCUCACCGCCCAGAUGCUAAAACCAUCUCUUCUUCCUCAAAAAGCUAUAUCUGGGUCAACCCCAACAGCUAUAUCGGGGUAGGUGCUGCCGGCUCUCAAAUCUCAAAUUUUGCUUACGAUUCCCCAACAGUACUAAUUCAUCUCUCUCUCUCUCUCUCUCUCUCUCUCGGCUAACGGUAAAUGUAAUUUUAUGUGCAUAUCAGGAGACAUACAAAGCAAAAACCUUUGGAGCUAGCUUACUCAUACAUACAAAUUGUGUAUUUAAAAUAAGAAUUAAUAUUUUAUAUACUGAAAAUAAAAAUAUAAUAAUUUUUUUAUACUAAUAAUUUUGAAUAUAAAAUUUAAAUUCAUACUAUAUGGUAUAAUAUAAAUCUGUUAGUGCCCUCUGCAGCUUGUCCCUGGUCGAACCUUGCUGCUAACAAGUUGUGGAGUGUGGAGAAUAGUUUGUGGGAUCCAUUUCCUACGGAUACCCCUAAAAAAUAUAUCUCAGCAUGAUUACGUUACUUGAUUCUCGUCCGACUAUUAUCUUAAAAAGUCUGUUUGGAUUGUGAAUUAUUAGAGAUAUUUUUACUGUAGCACUUUUUGUGAUGUGAUGUAUGUGAGAUAAAAAGGUAAUUGGAAAGGUAAAAAGGUGUAUUGGAAAUUGUAACGAUGAUGUAAACAAAUAAAUUUGAGAAAAUAAAGCCCAAUCUGUUUGGUUAUAUUACAAGCGUCCCAAUUCAAUUAAAUUCCGCUGCGCUGCGCCUUCAAAUGUGUUGUUAACAGUCUACUUAACAAAUAUGCAAUCACUUGCACGACAGAGAGAGAGGAAGGGGACAAUUAACAUUGGAGGAGUCACUAAUCAGUCGAAGUAUACCCCCAGUUACAGUAGUUGAAAAGCCGAUGGCACUUGCACCACCACCACCACCACCAGCACCGACUUCACCUGAACCGUGCUCUCACCCGCCAGUUCCAGUGGGGUUCUGCUGUGUCCCAUGUUCGGAAGGGUACAACGGGGGGCCAUGCUACUAUGGUUAUGGGCGGCCCGCGCCCCCGCCGCCCUGUUAUGAUAGCUAUGGUUUCAGGUACGGGCAUGGGAAGGGAUAUACGGACAGCCGUUGCAAUUAUUUCAAUGAGGACAACACUGGGGGUUGCACGAUUAUGUGAGAGAGGAGUAGAGAAUUUGAUGGGGUGAUUUUACUGAUAUGAUGUGAAGAGCGUCCAAAUUAGUAAUCAAUUAAUUUUGUUUGGUGGGCGGUAAGAGCAAAUGCAUUUGAAGCAUUUAGUAGUAGUAUUGUGUAGUUAGCGCAAACCUUGAGAACAAUCUCCUGAACCUCUUCUUCCUUCUUUUCUUCUUUCUUGUCCCCUUCUUCUUCCUUUUUACUAGUAUCUUCUUUGUUUCCCGGUACUUGUUUCUGUUGCUCCUCCUUGUUCGCUUCCUCUUUCUUCUCCUGCAGCAUACCAUGCAUGAGAUCAAUGAGAAAGUGAUAGCAAAACUUAUUACAGUAGUUACUGGGAUUUCCUUCCGUUCAUUCGAGGGAGCAAUUAGAAUAAUCUUGUGCAAGGAUAUUUGGAAGUAGAAAACUAAAAACUUACUUCGCCCAUAUCGUCUAACUCUGACAAGCCCCUCUUCCUAGUCCUAGCUAAUACUACUAAUCAGUAGUAUAUAUGUUUAUAUAGAAUGUAUUACUGCAGGGAGGAGGGGGGGGGGGGAUCGUGGAGAUUUUCUUAUACAAGAAAUGAAAUGAAAUGAGAGCAAGGACCCUUUCUCUCAGUAUAGUAGGCAUACAGCAAGCUCGGGGCUUUGGGGUGAAGGAAAAUGGGAAGAGAGGAACGUUUAAUUUAAGUAGCGGGUGGUCGCGGUCUGGUGGUACUGCCUACACUGCCCGGUGCCCACUGCUGCGGCUGCUCCAAAAUUCCAAAUUUCUUUAAAGCGAGUUGCCUACGGUGCUGUCCUUCAGCUGACUCAGCACCUCAUAAUUUUGGCCCCCUGCUUAUGAUUCUAUCUCCGACUACGAGUACAUCAUCUGCAAAUGUAGUAGUCGCCUUUGACUGAUUAAAUAGUAGUCUGACACUACAGUAAUUUAGGAAAAAAUAUAUAUAGUAAAUAAAAUCUUGCAUACGUAGAAGUUAAUGGAAAGGAAAUACUACGAAUUAUUACGGAGAUGGAUGGGAAAGGAUUCCAACUUUGUAAAAGCCCUUGGAGUUAUCCUGCAAGCAAAAACCAAACGAAUGGUCGGCCUGGUAAGGGCUAUCAGGAUCUUUAAAAAAGAAAAGUUGGAAUCUAGCGGGACCUCCCCGCCCCCAAUUUACGACCAGUUUUCAGGAAACCAUUCACUGUAUAUAUGUGACGCUUCUGGCUUCCGCUCAUGUAUAUAAUCUGCUGUAACUAUUGUGUGUGUGUGUGUGUGUAUAGGAGUAUGUUUUUUGAUGACUAAUGUAACUAUUGGAAUUACUCAACUUCCUUCUUCGAUUACAUUACAUACUUGAUCGGCUAUAUUAUUUUGAUGAUCCCAAAUUAAUUAAGAUGAUCGACCUUGUAAUAAUGAUUAAUUAAUUGGUUAGAAAAUAAUUCCAAUUUACCACUUGCUUCCACAUGUCAUCACAUAGUUCUUGAGAACUAGUUGUUGCCUAAAUACAAAACAGGCUUCUGCCUACUUUUGAAUUUUGGCUUCCAUAGGAGGGUACAAGCGUGUAUACGAAAUCUUUAACUCUUCAGAAUUGAAGCUGCAAGUGCAAGAUUUAAGCAUCCGAAAGCAAUUAAUUUAAUGCCAUAUGCUACGGCUAUUGGAUUAGGCAAUAAUUUGCUAGUACUUACUAUAGCUUAAUGACUUAAUCGGCUAAUUACAGAAAUUAAUGCAGAAGAGGUCAACAGGCACUACUCGAAGACAAGCCACAAAAUCCAGGUGCGAUGAGGAAAAAGAAAAUUAAGUGAAAUCUAUAUACUAUUUCUUCAUGCAUGGCUGUCCCUUUUUGUUUACCCAUCUAAGGUUAAAUUUCUAUCUCAAAAUUCCUCGGGUUAAAUGAGUACCACAAGUUUUCUUGGGGAGACCUUUUUAAAGAUUUGUAGAACAUGCACAAGGAUAAUAACUUCAGUAGGAGUAUGUUUUUUGAUGACUACUGUAACUAUUUUAACUGCAGCGGGAUAAAUAUACUGGACGGACCAUAGCUUCAACAUUGCACGUUAUGGGAAAGAUUGUAAGUUGCUGUUCAAAUGUUUUGACGACAUCUUUAAACUUAGCAAGACGCAAAAUGUUAAAACAGAAAAACAGACGUACAAGUGCAGGAAGGAACAAUUAACGCAGCACAUUUCCUCAUCAUUCCAAGAGAGAUCGAACACUAGUAUACGUCUAAAAGCGAGUAGUAAUAAUAUUUUGCAAGAGGCAAAAAAACAACGGCAGUAAAAAAGAAAAUAGAAAAGUUGGGGGAAGAAGGACAAGUUUUGGCGAAUAGACAAAGAGUAACCGACGUCCCGAAGUGGGGCGAUUUUUUUUUUUCAAAAGCUUUGCGUACACUAACAUAUCAUGUAUAGUGAUGAAGACGGUAUACUUGUCUAGGAGGGAUGGCAAGGUUAUCCUGACCUGAAAUCACAGAGAAAGAAGCGGCCACCACAAUUUAAAGGACGGGGCUGUAACAUUUGACAAAGACGGCAGCCCACUGCAUAAGUGGUCCAAGUUCCAUGGAUGGAUCUUGCGUUUCUCAAAUGGUUGAAUUCUUCGAUACUAUCAUCACAACGUGUUAGUACAUGAUACGUUAUUAUUUUGAUUUCACACCGUACCUAGUUUAUAUAUUGGAUUGGAUGAAGAAAGACAAUUCAUAUUCAUGUCCAACGGCAUUUUGCCUGCUGCCUGGCUCUGCACUCUGCAGCCAGUCUCAUGGGCCUCACCGUGUAGUUUCAAGAGUGAGCCCAUAGAAUUGCUACGAACAGAUCUGGGUUUCAAGAUGGGCCGCCACUCCUUUCCUUCAUCAAUUCCUCCAGUAUACACAAUCCACUCAUCUAGGCAAGUGACGAUCAUUCGUUAUUCAAUUCCAGGGUACCUGAUCCACUCAACUAGUCUAGGCAUGUGACGAUUAUUCGUUAUUCAAUUCCAGGGUACGAACAGAUCCAUUCAACUAGUCGAGUCAAGUGACGAUCAGUCGUUAGCUGGCAAACUUUGAGGCUUAUGCUUCAUCCGGGACCUAACUUUUGGUAGGGCAGUAUUGAUAACUGGUUUUGCAGAAAAAAAAAAAUUCUGUUGUUCAAGUUGCAAAAGCAUGAGGUGUAAAUCUUCCGAGGGUUGAACUUAGAAUGCUGUCCAAAAUAAAUUUGACUAGUUGUAAGGGCAAGAGAAGACAGGUCAGAUACAUAAAAGGGAUAAUUUAGAAACCUCCCUUGAGGUUUUCAAUAAUUUCAUUGACCUCUCUUGAGGUUUGUAAAAUUACACUAACCUCCCUCAAGGUUUAGAUUUCGGUAACAAAAUUAGUCCAAAUCAGAAAAAUUACCAUUAAAAAUGUAUUUUGCGAAGAGAGAUAAACUUUUAUUCCAUAAAUGCCCUUAUGCUUGUGUACAAGUUGUAUUGUAAAGGAGUAAAAAAUAUAUUAAUAAAAGCGUGGGAAGGUAAGCGCAAAUAGUAAAGAACAAAAAAUAAGUAGCAACUGACUUUCUCUACAAAGUUGGACCAACGGGUAGUGCAUUAGAUUAUAAUGGAUAUUUUUCAGAUCUUCACCAUUUUGCAUAUAAAGGAACCAAGAAGGAUUAAGAUGGAUCUCACUUUUACUUGAAGCAGUAAAAGUUGAUGUGUAAAAAUAGUUUUGGAUGUGAUGUAUUAUGACUUUGAGCUGCUUUACGUCAAUUUAACUUUUUUCUUUAGUUGUUUACUUUUUCUUUUUUUCGGAAACAUUAACGAUGUAUUGAUCAUAAGAAACUUUACAACAAAAGUUGGGCAAAGGGCUCCAGCAAAGCUUUACAACAGUGCAUACGCUCGCACUUAUAAGGAGUAAUGUUUGAAGCGUGAACGCUAAGCCUAUGACAUAAAUCCAUCAUAUUUGUGGUAUUUUUUUUUGUAAUCUAAAAGGGCACAUUCGAAACAGUUUAGCUAAGUCCUUAAUGUCUUCCACACCAAUUUGGUGUGAUCAAUUGAAAUGUCCUUGCUGGACAGAUGAAAGCGAGUUCUUGUCCCUGAUGCCGACCAUCGCCCGUUCAGCCACCAACUCCUAUUCCCAUUUUCGUCAGUUGUUUACAAAUUAGCAGUGAAUUAUUUCCACUCCUACUUUAUCUAUCUUCUAGGAACAUAAAGAGUAGUAAAGCAGCAGUGCAGUGGGGCGGGGUAGGUGCUGCCGGCUCUCAAAUCUCAAAUUUUGCUUAGGAUUCCCCAACAGUAGUAAUUCAUCACUUCUAUGUUUACACUUUACACUUGCAUCCGGAAUGAAUGUUGUCACAAAAUCCAUCCAACAAAGUCAUCAUGUAUAUGUUAAACCCCCGAUAUAAUAACCAAACUGGUAAUAAAUAGUUAGUGGCUUUACCGUUGUUAGGAUGGAAUUCGUGUGUUGAUAUUUUUUUUUUUUAAAAAAUAAAAUUAAAUAAAAAAAGUAUAUAAACACAAGAUAAGAUAAUAAUAAUUAUCAAUAUGUACGCUUACAUGUGGUUUAUUAGAUGUGAUUUAAGUGUCGUAAUGAUUGCCCAACGAGUAUUACUCAGUAGAAAAAAAAAAUUCAUAGUUAAUUGCAAAGGGCAUAGGAUAAUGAACUUCUUGAUAAUAAUAAGAUAACGACAUUUUUGGCCUGGUCUUUUAAUUUAUGGGAUUGAUUGAUGGCUCUGUACGGUGGUAUUACCACACACGCUAACAAGUUUGGUACGUGUCUACAUGAAAACUGUCGGUGUUAAUAAAGAGUCUUUCCUCCGCCAUCCUCAUUUGCUUUUGGCUUUCUUUCGUACGAUUUCUUUUUCUUUUUCUUUCUCUCUCUCUCUCCCUUUUGGCUAACGGUAAAUGUAAUUUUAUGAGCAUAUCAGGAGACACACAAAGCAAAAACCUUUGGAGCUAGCUUACUCAUACAUAAAAAUUGUGUAUUUAAAAUAAGAAUUAAUAUUUUAUAUAUUGAAAAUAAAAAUGUAGUGAUUUUUUUACAUACUAAUAAUUUUGAAUAUAAAAUUUAAAUUCAUACUAUGUGGUAUAAUAUAAAUCUGUUAGUUUUUUUUUUUUUUUUUUUUUGUCAACACAGGGGUGUCCGGGUCAAGACCCGAAGGCGGCCCGACUAAUCCCCUGCGCCUGGAGUACAGCGCCACCCCAACCGCACCCAGGCGUUAGGUGAGGUUCGAUCCCACGACCUUGCGAGUGAUUUUCCAGCCGCAGACCGGGUGAUCUAACCCGGGAGUAGAAAAAGUUAUCCUUAAACCAACAAUAAUAAUCAUAAUUUUUGUGAGCAUUAGUUAAAUCUCAGCAUGAUUACCCUUGAAAUGUGUUGUUAACGGUCUACUUAACAAAUAUAUGCAGUCACUUGCACGAGAGAGAGAGAGAGAGAGAGAGGAAGGGGACAAUUAACAUUGGAGGAGUCACUAAUCAGUCGAAGUAUAGAUUGAUGCCACGCCCAAAAAAGCAAAAAAUAAAAAAUUGUGUAGUGUAAAAUGGUUGGCCCAUGUGGGGGAGAUGCAUCAUAUGCUUGGAUAAGCUCAUAAUUUCCAUCAUCAGUACUCACUACUAAUAACUUCAUUACUGUCAUUAAUAGUCAUCAUGGUUUCGUGGGAAUUGGUAAUAUAAAUAAUAAAAUAUAUUUUGGAAGGUGAGGUGGGCAUAUCAAAAUUCAAAGGCAGCAACGAACGGAGUAUGGAGGAUGGAUGUUGAUGGAGCGUCACAACUCAGCAAUUCCAGGCCACCACAUAUGCCUAGCCUACCUUACCUUACCUCAUACGCCCGUAUUAGAAAGCAGCAAAAUUCAACGCCCCUUUCAUUUCGUUUCCACCCUCCCUCCUUCCUUCCAUACUAUUACUAGGGAGUAGUAGUUAGCACUGCAAGCUGCCCGGUUGCCAUCUUUCUACAUAAAGUCCUCCCACUUUUUUCUACCUAAUUGCCUCCUACCGUCUAAUUCUUCCACCAUUUAUUAGCAUCAGUUUAGUAGUAUACUGCUUGCUUGCUUGCCUGCCUACAUCCCUUCCCCACUCCCCGACUCUUCCGCUCCCGCACCCAACUCCCCAACCAUUUAUUGUCAUUUGGGCUGUGGAUUCUUGAUCAGAUCCACCCAUCGCCACUGAUCACUGACUCCUUCCUUCAUCAACCAUGGCUGAGAAGGUAAGCCAAUUCUCCUGCUAGCUUUCCCAACCAUCCCUCAAAUGUUCGUGAUAUAUUAUUGUUUUGCAUCUUUUUUUUAGUAGUGUUUGCUUGCUCAAUCUGAAAAUUAUAAUUGCAAGUCUAUGACAGCACAUACAACGCGAGAUAUGCUUGCUUCUCUUUAUAUCAAGAUCUCUACCCACAUCUCCCAGCGUAAACCAUAUAAUUGUGCAUUUCUUGAUUGUUAUAUAUAUAUAUAUACACACACACAUGUAUGGAUCGAGUUUGACUAUUUUGCUCCGAUAAUAUAUAUGCAACCAUACAGGUGACUACGAUGAGACUCAAGGUUGAUCUUCAAUGCCCCUGCUGCUACAAGAAGGUCAAGAAAAUCCUCUGCAAAUUUCCUCGUGAGUCUCUUUAUGUUUUCAAUACCAGUAGAGUAGUAGUAGUUCUUCUUUAGAGCAAGUACAGUUAGUUGAAGGACAUCCACCGUUCCACCGACUAUGUACAUGGAUAGGCAUGUGCGCCACCAUGAGCUACAGUUUUUUUUAAAAAUAAUUUUUUCCCCUUCUCCAUGAUUAUUUAUUAGCCGAGUUCAACAACAAAAGUUGGGUAGUGUGGCUUAUGAAACUACUUGUGAUCAGUUAGUGGCUUUAAUUUGUAUGGACAAGAAUUUGAGUUUUUCUUUUUUUUUUUUCUUUUGUUGGGGGUGAUGCUCAAUGUUUUUGGACAAGAGAAAUCAGAGACCAGAUAUAUGAUGAGAAGCAAAAUCUGGUGACCAUCACCGUCGUGUGCUGUAGCCCCGAGAAAAUCCGCGACAAAUUAUGUUGCAAGGGUGGCAAAGUCAUUAAGAGCAUUGAGAUCGUGGAGCCACCAAAGCCCAAGCCACCGCCGGAGAAGCCUAAAGAGCCCGAAAAGCCUAAGCCACCCCCAGAAAAGCCCAAAGAGCCGGAAAAGCCCAAGCCACCCCCAGAAAAGCCCAAAGAGCCGGAAAAGCCCAAGCCACCUCCAGAAAAGCCGAAGGAGCCCGAAAAGCCCAAGCCACCCCCGGAAAAGCCCAAAGAGCCGGAAAAGCCCAAGCCACCUCCAGAAAAGCCGAAGGAGCCCGAAAAGCCCAAGCCACCUCCAGAAAAGCCCAAACCACUACCACCACCACCUGAACCGUGCUCGCACCCACCAGUUCCAGUGGGCUUUUGUUGUGUCCCAUGUUCGGAAGGGUACGGCGGGGGACCAUGCUACUACGGGUACGGGUACGGGUACGGGCGGCCUGUGCCCCCGCCAC
rnacentral:lncRNA from 1 species